UGGGGAAUAUUGCACAAUGGGCGAAAGCCUGAUGCAGCGACGCCGCGUGAGGGAUGACGGCCUUCGGGUUGUAAACCUCUUUCAGCAGGGAAGAAGCGAAAGUGACGGUACCUGCAGAAGAAGCGCCGGCUAACUACGUGCCAGCAGCCGCGGUAAUACGUAGGGCGCGAGCGUUGUCCGGAAUUAUUGGGCGUAAAGAGCUCGUAGGCGGCUUGUCACGUCGGUUGUGAAAGCCCGGGGCUUAACCCCGGGUCUGCAGUCGAUACGGGCAGGCUAGAGUUCGGUAGGGAGAUCGGAAUUCCUGGUGUAGCGGUGAAAUGCGCAGAUAUCAGGAGGAACACCGGUGGCGAAGGCGGAUCUCUGGCGAUACUGACGCUGAGGAGCGAAAGCGUGGGGAGCGAACAGGAUUAGAUACCCUGGUAGUCCACGCCGUAAACGGUGGGCACUAGGUGUGGGCGACAUUCCACGUCGUCCGUGCCGCAGCUAA
rnacentral:rRNA from 1 species